GACGAACGCUGGCGGCGUGCUUAAUACAUGCAAGUCGAACGGACAGGCCCUGCUUUUGUGUGGUGCUCGAGUGCCGCACGGGUGAGUAUCACUUGUGUAACCUGCCCUUGACUUUGGGAUAUCUUCAGGUAACUGGGUCUCUUACCGGAUAGGAGCUCCUGCGGCAUGGUGGGGGUUGGUAAGUUUCGGUGGUUCGGGAUGGACUCGCGGCUUGUCAGCUUGUUGGUGGGGGUGUGGUUUACCAAGGCUUUGACGGGUAGCCGGCCUGAGAGGGGGAACGGGGACAUGGGGACUGCGGGACGGCGCAGACACGUACGGGAGGCAGCAGUGGAGAGUAUUGCACAAUGGGCGGAAGCCUGAGACAGCAGCGCCGCGUGCGGGAUAACGGGCUUCGGGGGGUAAACCGCUUUCGCCGGUGACGAAGCGAGAGUGACGGUACCGGGUAAGGAAGCACCGGCUAACUACGUG
rnacentral:rRNA from 1 species